AAGAAAACAGAGGGAAUAAGUUUUAUUGAAACAGUUAGAAUUAGAACUACACUACUUACACAAAAACAUUGACGGGGCUGUCUCGUCGCCGACGAACAUCGCCGGCCAAUUUUGGGUGAUGCAAGGCAGCUUCCGACGAUCUUCCAACAUUGGUUCAAGUUGUGAAUUUAAUGCUCGUAAUUGGUCUAGUGAAACGACAUUUUACGAUUCUGGGUAUUGACAUUGUGACUUAUUGGUUAUUGGAUUAAUCUGAUAUUGUUUGUGUAAUCAUCAUUAUGGUUGGUUUAUGAAGUUCUUGAUCGAGUUUAGUGAUGAUGGAGAUAUUCAUGUAUGUUAUACAGAACCGAGGAUUAUUGGCUGUUGUUUGUGUCGUUCGAAUGCCAUUGAAUUUUUACCACAAUAUGGCAUUACUGGGUUUAGUUUCCUUGAUUAAUAUGUUGGCAUGGUAUCAGCAGAAUUAUGACGUGGUUAAGAAUUGACGGGUUGAGGUGCUUUACUAUUGGAAAGUAUUGAUUUUGGUGAAUGCAGGGGUUAAAGGGGAUAUAUGAAGUAGAGCAGCCACUGGUGGUUAGACUGGUGUGAUUUUCUCUUUUUGGUUUACUUUAUUUCCUCCGUAAAGUGAGAUCUUUGUGAUGGAGAAGAUACUCAAAUCCUAUAAUCAAACUCAGAAUUUUUAAAUUAAAAUGAAGGAUUUUCUCUCCACUGCUGUUUGGUUUGAACGAAGUUCUGCAGCAGCUAUCCUGUUUCAAGAUUCUCGUUUUAAAAUCCUUUCGAUAUUGUUGUUUUUAUAAACGUUUUGUUAAGGUUGACAAUUGUGAUGAGUUCCCUGGACAUGUUGAUUCCCAAGAUCUUCAGAUGGACUGAUGGAAUAUGUUAUUUGCCUGCUAGUUCAUCCUGGGCCUUUGAGGACCCAAGAGUAUAUAUCAUCAUUCAAACAUGCUCUAUCAACAAACCUACUGGAAGUAGUAACUCUAUUGUAGUGCUAGACUAUUUCUCUGAGAGGACGCGUUGACAUCAGUACAAUGCUUACAAGAUGACCAGCAGCCACGCCUUUUGAUGGUAUUGGGAGACUUUAAAGUUUCGAUUUCAAAUGGUUGGUAACAACUUUGUUUAAGACUACUGAGCUGGCUUGGUGAAUGUGGGCUGUCAAUAGCUGCUUUAUUGGUGGCUCCCUGAUAAGUUAAUGAAAUUUUCAUGUUGAGAAGCAAUGGUAUCCUGUAGGUGCUUGGUCUUGGUUGAGUUUAAAACUGAAUAAGCGACAAGGGUAUACACCAGUGCUUGUAAUUUUGAGAAAGUUUAGCAUCAAUGACAAGAAGAAUUGACCUUGCAAUCCUCUCAUGAUUGUCAUGCUUACCUGCGUCAUUGGUGCAGAUAUUAGGUUCUUGGCUAAAAUUACAACAUAUUCAAUGUGCCAGAGUGCCAGACAGAGCUUAAUUUUUUAAUUCCCGUGCUUGUAAAAGGUAAUAUUUGCUAGGUUUGGGAUGUCAUGCAUAGUCGCGGUAAGAUCAAAAACCUUGAAUAUGUCCAUGUUACCACUUUUGCAGGUAAUGUUGCUAGGUUUGGGGCUGUCGUACACAGCUGCGCUAAGAUCAAUUACCUUUACAAUACGACGGCAGUCGGUUGAUGCCUGUUGCCAUAUUAAUAAUGCUUAUUAGUUAUUACAAAUUGAUAUCUGGAGCAUAUGCUAAUUGACCUUUUGUAAUGUUUGGUACAUUAUGUUUCAAAUUUGUUAGGUUUAUCAUUAUGUGGAAGACUAAGGAGGAAGAUGGUGAAAGGCUGAAAGCAAACAGAGACAGUUGGAAAGGAAGAGAGAGAAAGAAAUAAAAAUGUGCACCAACUUACUUCUUUUUCCAUUAGAUUAACAUAAAUCAUAUAUGGCGGUUGUUACACUGAUCAUAUUUUUGUAUUCUUUGAUAAUUACUAUAGUUUUUGUAUUUAAUCAGAUAUUGAUGAUUUAAUGUGAUGGAGCUUUCGUUAGUUUAUGUAAUGUACUACUGAGUUCUGUGUACAAUAAAAUAUUGAAGGCGUGGGUCAUACUCA